rnacentral:rRNA from 1 species
UACGUAGGGUGCGAGCGUUAUCCGGAAUCACUGGGCAUAAAGAGCGCGUAGGCGGUCUGAUAAGUCAGGUGUGAAAUCCCCCGGCUCAACCGGGGAACUGCACCUGAUACUGUUGGGCUUGAGUGCAGGAGGGGAGAGCGGAAUUCCUGGUGGAGCGGUGAAAUGCGUAGAUAUCAGGAGGAACGCCGGCGGCGAAAGCGGCUCUCUGGCCUGUUACUGACGCUGAGGCGCGAAAGCUAGGGGAGCAAACGGG